rnacentral:rRNA from 1 species
GACUUCAUGAAGCUGGAAUUGCUAGUAAUGGCAGGUCAGCAUACUGCCGUGAAUACGUUCCCGGGCCUUGUACACACCGCCCGUCACACCAUGAGAGUUGGGAAUACCCGAAGCCUGUGAGCUAACUGUAAAGAGGCAGCAGUCGAAGGUAGAAUCAAUGAUUGGGGUGAAGUCGUAACAAGGUACC